rnacentral:rRNA from 1 species
UACGGGGGGAGCAAGCGUUGUCCGGAAUUAUUGGGCGUAAAGCGCGCGCAGGUGGUUUCUUAAGUCUGAUGUGAAAGCCCACGGCUCAACCGUGGAGGGUCAUUGGAAACUGGGGAACUUGAGUGCAGGAGAGAAGAGUGGAAUUCCACGUGUAGCGGUGAAAUGCGUAGAGAUGUGGAGGAACACCAGUGGCGAAGGCGACUCUUUGGCCUGUAACUGACACUGAGGCGCGAAAGCGUGGGGAGCAAACAGG